rnacentral:rRNA from 1 species
GACGAACGCUGGCGGCGUGCUUAACACAUGCAAGUCGAACGGAAAGGCCCUGCUUGCAGGGUACUCGAGUGGCGAACGGGUGAGUAACACGUGGGUGAUCUGCCUUGCACUUCGGGAUAAGCCUGGGAAACUGGGUCUAAUACCGGAUAGGACCAUGCUUUAGUGUGUGUGGUGGAAAGUUUUUCGGUGCAAGAUGAGCCCGCGGCCUAUCAGCUUGUUGGUGGGGUAAUGGCCUACCAAGGCGACGACGGGUAGCCGGCCUGAGAGGGUGUACGGCCACAUUGGGACUGAGACACGGCCCAGACUCCUACGGGAGGCAGCAGUGGGGAAUAUUGCACAAUGGGCGCAAGCCUGAUGCAGCGACGCCGCGUGGGGGAUGAAGGCCUUCGGGUUGUAAACUCCUUUCGCUAGGGAAGAAGCCACUUGUGGUGACGGUACCUGGAUAAGAAGCACCGGCUAACUACGUGCCAACAGCCGCGGUAAUACGUAGGGUGCGAGCGUUGUCCGGAAUUACUGGGCGUAAAGAGCUCGUAGGUGGUUUGUCGCGUCGUCUGUGAAAUUCCGGGGCUUAACUUCGGGCGUGCAGGCGAUACGGGCAUAACUAGAGUGCUGUAGGGGAGACUGGAAUUCCUGGUGUAGCGGUGAAAUGCGCAGAUAUCAGGAGGAACACCGAUGGCGAAGGCAGGUCUCUGGGCAGUUACUGACGCUGAGGAGCGAAAGCAUGGGUAGCGAACAGG